rnacentral:rRNA from 1 species
CCUACGGGUGGCUGCAGUCGAGAAUCUUCGGCAAUGGGCGCAAGCCUGACCGAGCGACGCCGCGUGCGGGAUGAAGGCCCUCGGGUUGUAAACCGCUGUCGUAGGGGAGGAAUGGCCGGAAGGUUCUCCUUCCGGUUUGACCUAUCCUAGGAGGAAGUCAGGGCUAAGCUCGUGCCAGCAGCCGCGGUAAGACGAGCCUGACAAACGUUAUUCGGAAUCACUGGGCUUAAAGGGUGCGUAGGCGGCGCGGAGGGUGGGAUGUGAAAUCCCACGGCUCAACCGUGGAAUUGCGUCCCAAACCGCCGUGCUCGAGGAAGAUAGAGGUGAGCGGAACAGAUGGUGGAGCGGUGAAAUGCGUUGAUAUCAUCUGGAACACCCGUGGCGAAGGCGGCUCACUGGGUCUUCUCUGACGCUGAGGCACGAAAGCUAGGGUAGCGAAC